GUCUGUGUCUGUGCCACCCUGAACAAGCCUGAUCCCUUCUAAUCUUGGAAGCUAAGCAGGGUUGGAUCUGGUUAGUACUUGGAUGGGAGACCACUGAGGAAGAACAGAUGCUGUAGGUG
rnacentral:rRNA from 1 species